UACGUAGGGGGCUAGCGUUGUCCGGAAUCAUUGGGCGUAAAGAGCGUGUAGGCGGCCCGGUAAGUCCGCUGUAAAAGUCAAAGGCUCAACCUUUGAAUGUCAGUGGAUACUGCCGGGCUAGAGUCCGGAAGAGGCGAGUGGAAUUCCUGGUGUAGCGGUGAAAUGCGCAGAUAUCAGGAAGAACACCCGUGGCGAAGGCGGCUCUCUGGGACGGUACUGACGCUGAGACGCGAAAGCGUGGGGAGCGAACAGG
rnacentral:rRNA from 1 species